rnacentral:rRNA from 1 species
AUUGAACGCUGGCGGCAGGCUUAACACAUGCAAGUCGAGCGGGGUGAUGGUGCUUGCACUAUCACUUAGCGGCGGACGGGUGAGUAAUGCUUAGGAAUCUGCCUAUUAGUGGGGGACUACAUCUCGAAAGGGAUGCUAAUACCGCAUACGGCCUACGGGAGAAAGCAGGGGAUCACUUGUGACCUUGCGCUAAUAGAUGAGCCUAAGUCGGAGUAGCUAGUCGGUGGGGUAAAGGCCUACCAAGGCGACGAUCUGUAGCGGGUCUGAGUGGAUGAUCCUCCACACUGGGACUGAGACACGGCCCAGACUCCUACGGGAGGCAGCAGUGGGGAAUAUUGGACAAUGGGGGGAACCCUGAUCCAGCCAUGCCGCGUGUGUGAGGAAGGCCUUAUGGUUGUAAAGCACUUUAAGCGAGGAGGAGGCUCUUUUGGUUAAUACCCAAGAUGAGUGGACGUUACUCGCAGAAUAAGCACCGGCUAACUCUGUGCCAGCCGCCGCAGUAA